UCAUUUUAUGUACAGUAAAAAUUCACAUAGUUUAUAUUGACUGGAAAAUAAAUACAAAUAAAUAAACAAAUUGUGCGAGUCAGGCCGGCACGUUGCGCAUACGACGCGUUGUCUCCGCUUGCAGUUAAUUUGUAGAGCUCACGUUGGGGCCCCAGCCUCACUUCACUUCACUUUGGGGCUGUUUAUCUUAAAUGUUUACGCUGUAUUUUCACAACGGCAUUUUCGUAGAAGUUUUCAAUUGUUGCAUGAAGUGCACCGUGUCUAGAAAAAUUUCCCGUGUAGGCGGAUCAAGUCCCCACUACCCUACGCCGUAGCUUCUUCUAUUAUACAUUUGCCUGUUAAUCAUUAUUUCAAUUUUGAAUUCCUACACUAUGCGAAGCUGUGCUACAGUCCCUGUUUACUUAGCCCGACUCGUCUCAUUACGAAUGCAGUCGCAGAUUGCAGCUCUAAACGAAAUUAACAUAAAUUUUUAUGAGCUCUUCCCGGUAAACGAGAAACGCAACGAGCAUAAACAAGAAGAAAAAAUAUAUUUCCUCGACGACUCUGGGCCAUGACUGUUUCAUUUUUUUUAUGCUAAACUUUGCUACCACUUCCCAAUCUCAGUGCACCGUCCGCCAGUCGGAGUCGUUGUCGGAGUCCCUCUCCUAGGCCUGGUCACAUUAUCGAUCGCUAGUUCGACCAGAGUCUGACUGUUCGCUAAACUAUUGCCACUUGAGCAUUGCAAUUCAUCAAUUUAUCAAACGUUUGCACAGCCAAUUCAAUGACGGGCCGCCCGGACGGGCCCACAAUACCCAGCCGAGCCCAGCAGACGGUAUCUGGCUGCCAUUCAGUAUGCUCUUCUCUCUUCGUGCUUUUUGCAAAUCAUCAUCAUUCUUUUGUAUCGUCAUAAAGUCGUUUGUAUCUAUCAGAAA